AAUUUAUUAUUCGGGUCUAUUUAAGCGGGUCCGCGAAAGCGCUUAACUAGAACUCCACCAUGCUCCUGUUCUAUCACCUUCUCUCGCGGCCGCCUUCCGAACACUCGCCGGAACGACGACGCUCGUCGCGAGCCUCCGCUCGAACUCUCAGAUCGACCAAAAAGAUGAGGCAUCUUUUAUGAAUGGUUUUGACAAAAGGGAACUUCUUUGCGGUCGAUUAUAAGGCUUUCGAUCCAUGGCUAACAGGAGACUUCCUCCAGCCUCUUUUCCAUCCAAUAUUUUUUCAACCUCAAGAAUUAGAAAAAGAGUUGCUUGGGAAAUGGGUCCCCUUCAGAAAUUUAUGUGGGCUCAAGGGUCAGGUCUUUUAAGAACCUUACAUUCAUGGUCACUAGAGUUGUACAAGAAGAGACUUCUCCGGCAAAGCUUUAGUUCAGAGUUUUGAUCUGUAAACAAAAUCAAGUUAAAGAAUAUAAUUGCUAUUUGAUGAUAACUUACUGUAUGCAUAUGAUAAGUACUGAUUUUCAUUGUAACUAUGUUGGUCCUGAAUCAGCAAAAUUUGAUUCAUGUAUAUGUACUUAAAUUUUUUGAAUGUUAUUUCAAUGUUCUAUUCCUCUUUUAUUUGCAUUUUCCUUUCUAAUAUAAAUAUAAUUUGAGCGCAAUCCAUUUACAUUCAAUUCUCAUCCAUAAUUCCUUGUUUUGAUUUCCAAGUAGUCACAAGGGCAUUUUUCUUGUUCCACAAAAUCCAAAUGAUUGAAGUGUUUCCAUUUCAUUGUUUCAUGAUUUUUAACUUUCUGUAGGAGGGCUUUAAUGUUGUCUUCAUUUCUUGUUUGAUGAAUGACAAUCAUAUUCAAUGGUUCCAUGCUUUGCCAAAAAAAAAAAAAAAAUGUAUGGCUUAAUGCAUGAGCUCACAAGCCUAUGUAUGGGGAUCCUUUUGGUGUGUGUGGAAGAUAUAGUAUUAAGUGUAUAUCCUUUUUUAUAGAAUAUAAAACAAAUACUUGUAAAAAUAACUUGAAAGAAAAUCAAAUUUUACAAGAGCUUGGAAGUAGAAAUCUCAAGCUCUUGGGGUUCACAAGAAUUGUAAAGCGUGAAUUCUGAGUAGCAGAGUUGUAGUAAAAUGUCUUGCACUUGUUCUAGGUCAAACUCCUCUUGCCUUUGUAUCUAUAGUGUUCAAACCAAACUUGGAUUAGCUUCUUACAACUGUUCUAUAUAAUUUCGGUCAACUCAAACCUUUGCUAGUUCUAUUUAAUUACUCAAAUUCAUUCCACCGAUCCAACACCAAUGAGUCAACUCAAUUGGAUAAGAUUGCAAACUCAGUUGCUAGUGGAUCAAGAUUCUAGUUGAUUCAAAUAUAAUCAAGCCUCUAUAAGUCAGCUUACAUGGUUAUUUCUGAAUCCUUAUCCUCCAAUAGUCACUUUAUUGAGUUGACUUAUGUCCACUUUAGUCAACUCAAUUCAAAAACAGAGCUAGUUAACUCAAGCUGUAUUCAAUAGUUGACUAUCUAGUUUACUCAAACCAUUUGAGUUGAUUGAAUUCGUGUUCAGUCGACUCAAGCUAAAAUAAAACCUUCCAUUUGCCAGUAGAAGUGGAUUGAAUCUACUGUUGAUCUCAAUUUGACUCGAGAUCCUGAUCAUUCGUUGACUAUGACCGAUAACACAUGUUCCUUGUUGAAUGCUUGCUUAAGUAAAUUUUUAUACAUAAAACCCAAAUUACAAGUCGCUCAUGAUCUCUCAAGCUCAUUUAGUCUUCCUUUGCUAAGAGGUCGUGCCUCUGGGUCCACCUCAUCUACCAAGAGGUCUCACCUCUAGGGAUCUUCCUCAUCUACACUUGUUGUGUUCUUUGCCAACCUUGAUCUCUUGAGCAUUUGGCCAACACCAAUUGAUCUUCUCCAUCUACUAAGGUCCUCUUGAGCUUUUCCUUCUACCAACAUUUGUUAUACUUCUCCAUAUGCCAAGUAUCCAAUCAAUGUUACCUACUUGGACUUCCUCCAACCUUAACACACGUGUUGAGUUAUCACUACACCUACAAUUACUAGUCAAGUUUCUACACCUAAACACAAACACAUCAGAAAUACUGAUUCAUAUAGGUUGAACCUAAGUUAAACCCAUUGUCAGCCAAAUCAAAACAAUCUUGUCAGACUUGACCAAUUGGGGCAUAAUUGCACCAACAAAAUCUUAUCAUAAUUUGGUGUUCCUUACUCUAAAGCAGUUAUUAUUGAAAGUAAAUAUACAGACUUUGAACUGUGAUUGUAAAUGUUAGUGCUUCAAUUGUAUUAUUCUUCUCCUAUGUGUGAAAUAUAGUACAAAUAGAAAAAAACAGAGUUUUAUCAUUUUCCUUCAAAUAAACAACCUCUAAUAUAACAUGCUAACAACAUUGAUGUUCACUUUUCUAAAAGCUUGUCUGGUCAAUGUGUGUAAAUUAAAUGGGAGUGUUUAUCAAUCAGAUUCAGAUAAUAGGGAUAAAACUAUCUAUCUUAAAGCUAAUUCAGUUGCUGAUGUCAAAUUAAUAGUGACUUGAUUGGCUUAAGCAAAUAUAGAAUGCAAAAGGACUUAGAUAUUAGUUAAUAUAGUUCUGUGUGAAUUGAGAUUAAGCUGGUUAACAAUUUGAGUCUUUUUAAUCCUAGAAAGGUACAGAUAUUCAGAAGUUCAUCAAACUUUAGGUCAGAGCAUCUGAUUAAAUGCUGCAGAAUUGGAUUUGGUUAAAUACCAUAGAAUAAACUUUUUUGUUUUCUGAAUUGCUCUUUGCAUUAAUUUGAGGAAGCAGCAUGAGUUUUCAAUUUUAACAUGAUUUUGCAUUUUAACUUGGGAAAUCCCAUUACCUGGUUCAUAUGAGUGGAGAAUACUAAUUGUUUCUGUGUAUGCAUUUGUGCUCAUUGAGGUAUCUUAAUAGUACCUCUUGUGUUAUGUUUAUUGACUUUGUGUGUAAAAUCAAAGGAGAUAGCUUAGU